AUUGAACGCUGGCGGCAUGCCUUACACAUGCAAGUCGAACGGCAGCACGGGAGCAAUCCUGGUGGAGAGUGGCGAACGGGUGAGUAAAGUAUCGGAACGUGCCCAGUCGUGGGGGAUAACGUAGCGAAAGUUACGCUAAUACCGCAUACGAUCUAUGGAUGAAAGCGGGGGAUCGCAAGACCUCGCGCGAUUGGAGCGGCCGAUAUCAGAUUAGGUAGUUGGUGGGGUAAAGGCUCACCAAGCCGACGAUCUGUAGCUGGUCUGAGAGGACGACCAGCCACACUGGGACUGAGACACGGCCCAGACUCCUACGGGAGGCAGCAGUGGGGAAUUUUGGACAAUGGGCGAAAGCCUGAUCCAGCCAUGCCGCGUGCAGGAUGAAGGCCUUCGGGUUGUAAACUGCUUUUGUACGGAACGAAAAGGUUUGGCCUAUAAGCUGAGCUCAUGACGGUACCGUAAGAAUAAGCACCGGCUAACUACGUGCCAGCCGCCGCAGUAA
rnacentral:rRNA from 1 species